CUUCCGGUUCGCCAUGUUUGUAAAUGAAUGCAGACUAGAGAUUCAAUUCAAGAAAGUUCGGAAGGUGCGAAAUAUUAACAACAUUCCAAAGUUUGCUCCCCCACUGAUGGAAUGUGUUGAUGCGCAGAAUAUAUGCGCAGAACGGACUUUACAGCAUCUUGAAUGCAAAAUCAUUUUCUGGAUCCAAAUUGCACUCGAAACUGGACUAUAGCUUUGUCAUAGGUUGCUGUGAUUAUAAAUGAUAAGGACUAGUUAAUAAAACACGUCGGUAUCUGCAAUGAAAUGCAACAUCUUGGUGUGAUUCCUAAGCGGUCGGUUAAUUGUACUAACCGCUAAGAUGAACCACUUUUAACUACUCUUUUUCCAGUAAAGAAAACUAUAAAUAAUUAAUGUAACAUUAAGUUGUAUAUACACAAGACUGGUCUUUCUUUUAGCCAUAUAAUAAAUAUUAACUUAUUGACUGAGAUUGUUCGGACAGGGCAGUAGAAUAUUACGCUCGUUCUAUUUUUGUUCGUAUCAUCAUGGACCUCACCAGUCCUAUAUACAAGACAUACAUACCCUCCAGUCCGGACCAAACAAGCUCAGUCAAUAACAAAUAGACAGGGCCGUAGCCAAGGGGUGUCGUCCAGGGGCAUUGGUCCCCUGAAAAAUUGUUCUACUUUUAGGGUAUACGUAACGCUAGUUUAUGCGUUUUAUGUUAAUAAAAAAAACACAGGUUUGGUACAUUUUAUGUCAUAGAUGAAAACAUUAAGAGGUCAUGCCCCACCUCAAUCCCCAACCCCCACGUGGUUACACCUCUGUAGCAACAAAUGAAUGAAUAAAUUAUGCAUGCAUAUGCACGUUACUUAACAAUUGUUCGCCGAAGGCGAGGCAAUUACCAUUGAAUAAAAACCGAGACAAAGUCGAGGUUUUUAUUCACGAUAAUCACCGAGCCUGAGGUGAAAAAUGUUAAUAGUAUAAUUCCAUAGGUGAUUAUUUGGGGAAAAAACACAUUUCUUCGUCAUUUAAUUGACAAAACGGCUUCGGCUGCCAUUUUGAACUGAUCACUCAUUAAUUUUUAAUAAUUACCUAUGUAAUUAUACUAAAUGUG